AACAAUUACUGUAUCUCCCUGCAGCCCAAGACCGGUUACUCACUGAAGCUAAGCAGGGCUGAAUCUUAUCAGUACCUGGAUGGUUGAUCACAUGGAAAAACUAGGUUGCUGUUGGAA
rnacentral:rRNA from 1 species